UGGGGCCCGUAAUCAUCCCUUUAAAGGUCCUAUUUCUCCAAAAUACAGUCACAUUCUGAAGUACUGGCUGUUUGGGCUUCAACAUAAUGAAUUUUGAGGGGGCAUAAUUUAGCCUAUCACGGUGUCAAGACUCAGUCCACAAAGACAACUGAAAUGACAAGGAGGAGUUCUGGCUGAGGCCAGAGUCACAGGACAUCUCAUAACUGGACAGUGUCUUGACACUUCACACGGAAAUGCAUGGGGAAGCAGAGGAAAGGAGGCUGUAGCUUCUGGAACAUCACCAAAGUAUGUCACACUGCGUGGAAAGCCAUUCCUAAAAUUCUGAAAAUGUCAUCGUGCUACUUUCCCAUUUACCUUCCUAAAACACAGAGGUUUGUUUGCUGACAGCAGUGGAACAGAGUGCAAGGAAGCCAGAGAAGUGUACGACUCGAUCACAUCACAUCAGCAUCGCAGGGUGGACUCGAAGUUAAGCUACUUUCCAAA
rnacentral:lncRNA from 1 species